CACCCUGAACAUGCCCAAUCUCAUCUGACCUCAGAAAUUAAGCAAGGUAG
rnacentral:rRNA from 1 species